rnacentral:lncRNA from 1 species
UGACGGUCACAGUAUGCCAUAGUUAGCGUCUCGGUGCAUUCUCCGUAGUACUUAGUGUUAAAAUCGUUGUCGCUGAUCGUGAGCCAGACAAUGUAUGACUGGUUGUCACGGCUGCGAUGCUUCGAGAGAGCAUGCAACUCCAAUAGCCUCUUGUACCACACCGACAACUGCAUCGUCUGCUGCGUCGACGAAAUUUGACAUGCAACGACGCGCAAGUUGAAGAACGGGGAAGCAUUUAUUCGUGACGGUGAAUAAAAGAGACGAGUGGCGGUCUGUAUGUUUUCCUGAAUAUUUUCUUCUCCUUUGCUGUCAAGCUUCCAGACGACUGUGCUUGUUCAUAACAACGCCGUGGCUCCGCGGGACAGUGCCUCUCAUAUCAAUCAUCGGCAGUUCGAAAUUAUAAUUAACUUUAUGGAGAGGAAUCCACGCUUAGUUAAGUCAUCGGGAGAUCUGGACCCAAAAUUAACCGCU